rnacentral:lncRNA from 1 species
GGAGCUGGGUUCGAGCGCUGGGGCUGCGGUUGGGAAACUACUGGAGGAUGUGGUGCACCAGAAUAAGAGAAUAAACCAAGAAACAGGAAGACGUGAUCCAGGCAACAGGAUAUUCCAGUAUAGUGUUGGAAACAGAAGCCCAGUAGUGAAAGCUACAGCUGCCAUAUACUUGCAGUGGAAUCACAGGAGCAAUCACAGGUCUUUGUAAGUGGCAGUAACAACUCACUUGACUUUCCUUCACCUGACACUGUCACCUAUCACAACACUGGCCAUCAAACUGGUAGAACAACCAGUCCUCUGAUUUGGUUUCCUAGGGAAGGCAGUUGUUCGGCUCAAUGUUUUGUUAACAUCAAGGCUCUUAUUCUUGCAUUUGAAACCAAACACCUCAAUCAUUUUGCUUGCACCAGGGUUGGUACAAGAAGGCACGGUCCUUCUUGGGUGGGUAUUUUGCAUUGUCACAAAUACUCUUAUUUAGAGAAAACCAACUCUGAAACCCUAAAACUAGUAUCUAGUAAAGGAAGAGAUUCAGUUCUAUCAAGCAAUAUAUUUUUCAGUCAAGAGUGACGCUGUAAGUAUAGAUUCAGCAGUAUAAACAUAUUACCAAAAGCUUGGAUUUUUAUUUAUGCAUUUUAUUUUUGAGAUGGAGUUUCGCUCUUGUUGCCCAGGCUGGAGUGCAAUGGCGCGAUCUCGGCUCACUGUGACCUGCGCCUCCCGGGUUCAAGCAAUUCUCCUGCCUCAGCCUCCCAAGUAGCUGGGAUUACAGGCAUGCGCCACCACACCCGGCUAAUUUUUUUUUUUUUUUUUUUUUUUUUAGUAGAGACAGGGUUUCUCCAUGUUGGUCAGGCUAGUCUCAAACUCCCGACCUCAGGUGAACUGCCCGCCUGGGCCUCCCAAGUGCUGGGAAUACUGGCGUGAGCCACCGCGCCUGGCCUGUUUAUUUUAAAAUUAAUUGUUUUUUUUUGAGAGGGAAUCUUGCUCUGUUACCCAGGCUGGAGUGCAGUGGUGCAAUCUCAGCUCACUGCAACCUCUGCCUCCUGGGUUCAAGUAGAUUCUCUCACCUCAGACUCCCGAGUAGCUGGGAUUAUAGGCAUGCACCACCACACCGACUAAUUUUUGUAUUUUUAGCAGAGACGGGGUUUCGCCAUGUUGGCCAGGCUGGUCUUGAUCUCCUGACCUCAGGUAAUCCACCUGCCUUGGUAAGUGUUGGGAUUACAAGCAUGAGCCACUGUGCCCGGCCCACUUGCUUUUAUUUAAUAACUUGCUAAAAAAUAAAAACAAAAAACAUUAGCACUUACAUGUGGCUCCAUGAUGUCUUUCUGGUAAUUCUGGAAACUUUUUGGGUUAUAGAAUUUGAAGAAUCUAUUUAGAGCUAUAGAACUCCUCUUAAUCCUCCCCAAGUUGUACUCAACAGAUUUAUUCCUUGCUCCCUAAAACCUAUCCUUAGAAAUUGCAAGUUGAGAAUUCACCCCACCACUGCCCACUGUUCCAAAAAGCUUUACUGAAUCUCAUUAAUGAAAAAUAAUGUAAAACUCUCCAUAGGAGGCAUUAACAUACUUGUUUCUUCCAAACCUUCUGAUUUCCACUAAAAUUUGUAACCAAAAUAUAUUAGGAAAAAGUAAUUAAGCUUUAAUGCUAUUGCCUGGCCCAGUCUAACUAUGAUCUUUUAAUUGUGGAGACAUGGCAGUUCCCUGAAAGACCACAGCCUUUGGAGACUAGCAAACCUGGCUUGAUCACUGGUUGAUAGUUAUUUUGCUGUAUUAAUUUGCCUUACUUUUCUGAGUCUGCAUUCUCAUCUGUAAAAUGGGUGUAUGACUUAUGAUAGGGAGCUAUUUGAAAAACAAAACAUCUGACACAGAAAAGGCUGAAUUAAAACCUUUAGAGACCCAAAGCAGCAGGGCUAUUGUGCCCAAAUCACUCAAGGUAUUGGUAGGAAAGAACACAAACUGAGGAAGGUUUAAUAAAGGACUAUUUACAGAGACAUGGACAGAGUGCAGGAAAAUCAAUGAAGAAUAAUGGCGUAAUCCAGGGCUGGUAACUAAGUCCUUUUUUUUUUUUUUUUUUUUUUUUUUGAGACAGUCUCGCUCUGUUGCCCAGGCUGGAGUGCAGUGGCACGAUCUCAGCUCACUGCAGCCUCUGCCUCCCAGGCUCAAGCAAUUCUUGUGCCUCAGCCUCUCAAGUAGCUGGUAUUACAGACAUGCAUCACCAUGCUUGGCCAAUUUUUGUAUUUUUAGUAGAAACAGGGGUUUCAUCAUGUUGACCAGGCUGGUCUGAAACUCCUGACCUCAGGUGAUCUGUCUACCUCAGCCUCCCAAAGUGCUGGGAUUACAGGUGUGAGUGACCGCACCCAGCUUGAGUCUUCUUUUUUUUUUUUGGAGACGGAGUUUCACUCUUGUUGCCCAGGCUGGAGUGCAGUGGCACGGUCUUGGCUCACUGCAACCUCUGCCUCCUGGGUUCUGGCAAUUCUCCUGCCUCAGCCUCCCGAGUAGCUGGGAUUACAGGCAUGCGCCACCAUGCCCAGCUAAUUUUUGUAUUUUUAGUAGAGACGGGGUUUCACCAUGUUGGCCAGGCUGGUCUUGAAUUCUUGACCUCAGGUGAUCUACCCGUCUCGGCCUCCCAAAGUGCUGGGAUUACAAGCGUGAGCCACCGCACCCAGCUCUCGAGUUCUCCUUUCUUUCUAUUCCUAGAUGUGAAGGAGCAAAGAGAAGGAGCCAGAAGCUAGAGGGGGCUGCUUGGUAAGAGCUGUGGUCUUUGCUAAAGGGACACAGACAACCCAUGUGACCUGGCAAUGAGAAAGCCAGAGUACUCUGACCAUCUCUUCCUUAUAUCUUCUCAUCUUCUUUGGAUAUUAAUAAUUGGAUAAACAGAAGCUGAAGUCAGAGGGCAAGGGAGCCAUUCAUGCUGCAGUCCAUGUGGGUCAGCACCCGCUGGGGUCCAGAGUGGGAUGAAGAGGGGUUCUGAAAGGCAAAUGGAAGACAUCUAGUAUAACCUCUCCCUGAACGUAAUUCAAACUACUUAACUAUUAUUACAGACAAAAAUCACAUGUAUGCUGAAAGUAAAAUAACCUGUUUCCAGAAUUUCUGAUUGCAAAAUUCUGAGUUCUUCAAUUAAACCUGCAUUUUUCUCAGUCUUUUUGGUGCCCCUGCUUCACUGGUGCCUUAAGAACAUUUGAGAGCCUAAGGGCAGCCCUGAGCAUGGUGCCUGAACUAGGGUGCCUCAAAACUAGGGACUGAGGAAGUCUCAAGUUCAUUCCUGAAUGCUGACUAUAAGAGUCUCUGAGAGAGUUUUGAGAAUGUAGAACUGAUUUAGAAUGAAUCUCAGGAUUUUUCUGUUAAGAUCUAUAAAUUAGGAAUUAAGGAACUGGAUUUUUUUUGAAUUUGAAAAAUCCUAUGAUAGUAUAACUUUGCAUAAGCCUACUGAAUGAUAGGAAAGUUUUUAGUUUCUUAUCAAAGAAAGAGAAUAAAGUGAAUCAGGACAUCAGUUUCACAUUGACAUUUUUAUUAACGCCAACUGUUUUUUAAUUAUUUUUUUAAAACAAUAGCACAAAAAUGUUUCAAGGAAGCAGUCUCACAAUCUGAUGACCUUCUGAAAUACCGUUAAGCCACACCAAAUAUGAAUUUCUGUUAAUAACACAAAAUAUUUUUUUAAGAAAAAAAGAAAAAAAAGGUAGGGAAAGAAGAAGGGAAUGAGAUUUAGAUUUAAAACUCAUUGGAUUAAAUAGGUGAGGCUUAUUAGGAUAUACUGUUGAAGCAAACAGUGGCACACACAGGCUUACAGUCUUUGUUUUUUAAACCAGUUACCACUAAUGUAUUAAGCCCUGCAGCAGUUACCACUGACUUCUCGCACGCAUAAAAUGAACCGGGAGAAGCCAGUGUUGAUACUGUUGUGAAGAGGUUCAAGAGCUGGCUUUUCAGACAACUAAGACCAUUUUUAGCAGAAUAACUCCUUCAGAAAGGCCUGGCUGAAGAUCUUUUUAUUUCUAUUGUCUCACCUAUAUAAAUUUCAGGGUUCUUAUAAGUCAUCUUUAAAAAGAAAAAAAUAAUGUAUAUCAGUUUCUCUUAUUUAAUGUGGCUAUGAAAGAUGUUUCCUUAUUAUUUCUUCAUCUCUAAGAAGGACACCAGGGAAUGGGGGUUGGGGGUGGAACUAAAGGGAGGAAAAAAACCAGAACAGGGUAGGUUUUUGUUUUUUGCUUUUUGUUUUUUUUUGGCCAAGGGGUCGGUCACACAGAAGGGAAGGCAAGGAGGAAAACUAAACUACAAUCCUUGGUUCAGAUUGAGUUAUGCAGGAAUAUAUCUUCCUGAUCAGUCCCCGUGCCAAAAAAAAAAAAAGCCACUUGGAAUUAUGCACUGACUCCAACUAUGUGAUACCAGCUAUCAGCCUUUUGUGUUUAACCAUUCCCAGAAAUGGACACCACCCUUGGCUUUAUAGGCUCCUUGCAGAACCCACUUCACAAAAAUGCUCUUCACCAAGAAGCCUCUAGUUUCCUUUUGGUAGGUUAUAAAAACAGAACAUCUGUCAUUAACAGUAGAGUGUUAAAUACUUUUAACCACUGACAAGGCUUCAGAAAGUUUCACAGUUUCGUUAUGCUCUAUUUUAUUACUAUCAUAUUUACAUUUUUAUUUUUUAUUUAUUUUUUGCUGAAUUGCUGAUUUUCCUUUUUCAAUAGAAUUUAAUUCUGGAGUGUGAGCAGGAACCAGUUAACUACAUUCAUUGUCCAACCCCCACUGGUUUGAAAGAAGACUCCAAAUUCUUGGCAUAUGAAUCAGCUGUUCGGUAGCUCCACCUUAUCCCUGCAGCGAAGCAGCAGAACCGCCAAUGGCGGCACCUCAGGAUUCACACUGUGGGUGGUGAGGCCUUCCGCUGAAGGAGGUACUGGUGGAUGCUCUCAGCAUCUCGCUUUAGCCAGGCAGCAUUCAGCAGAAUAUUUUCACAACACUGCUGGAUGGUACGCUCAGCUGAAGGAGCUGGGUGACUCUCGAAGAAAGCCUGGUAUAAAACAACCCAGAAUGCAGGAUCAUUACUAGCAAUAAGAAGUUAAUAUUACAGGUUAUGAAAAAAUACCCACUGGUCUAUAUGAAGGAUGCAUAAUCUUCAGGCAUGAGAAUUUACCACUGCCACCCUCAGGCUAAAAGAAAACAAGCAACUCCUUGGACCUGCAUAUAGGAAUUCUCCCCUUAAUUAUAUGCUUAACAACCUAAUCAAAAGUUAAUAAAGAGACAGAACCUA